rnacentral:rRNA from 1 species
AUUGAACGCUGGCGGCAGGCCUAACACAUGCAAGUCGAACGAGUGGCGGACGGGUGAGUAAUGUCUGGGAAACUGCCUGAUGGAGGGGGAUAAAUACUGGAAACGGUAGCUAAUACCGCAUCCCAUCGGAUGUGCCCAGAUGGGAUGAGCUAGUAGGUGGGGUAACGGCUCACCUAGGCGACGAUCCCUAGCUGGUCUGAGAGGAUGACCAGCCACCCUGGAACUGAGACACGGUCCAGACUCUUACGGGAGGCAGCAGUGGGGAAUAUUUCACAAUGGGCGCAAUCCUGAUGCAGCCAUGCCGCGUGUAUGAAGAAGGCCUUCGGGUUGUAAAGUACUUUCAGCGGGGAGGCGUUACCCGCAGAAGAAGCACCGGCUAACUCCGUGCCAGCCGCCGCGGUAAUAC